rnacentral:rRNA from 1 species
UCAGGAUGAACGCUGGCGGCGUGCUUAACACAUGCAAGUCGACGAGCCUGUCGGACGGAUCCUCGGGUGAAGACCGGCGCUGGCGAGUGGCGGACGGGUGAGUAACGCGUGGGGAACCUGCCUCAUUCCGGGGGAUACCAGUCGGAAACGGCUGUUAAUACCGCAUAAGCGCACGGUGUGGCAUCACACAGUGUGAAAAACUCCGGUGGAAUGAGAUGGCCCCCGCGUCUGAUUAGGCAGUUGGCGGGUAACGGCCCACCAAACCGACGAUCAGUAGCCGACCUGAGAGGGUGACCGGCCACAUUGGGACUGAGACACGGCCCAGACUCCUACGGGAGGCAGCAGUGGGGAAUAUUGCACAAUGGGCGCAAGCCUGAUGCAGGUCCGACGCCGCGUGAGCGAUGAAGUAUUUCGGUAUGUAAAGCUCUAUCAGCAGGGAAGAUAAUGACGGUACCUGACUAAGAAGCUCCGGCUAAAUACGUGCCAGCCGCGGC